rnacentral:lncRNA from 1 species
UGGGUCAUGUAAAGGUUUCAGUUGAAAGGCCCCCUUAGCAGACCAUCCGAAUGAAGUGGCCCCAAGGUUGUGGCCCAAUCUAUAUAGUUUAUUCUCUUCUAGUGCGGCACGUUGACAUCCCCCACCACCCAGUCUUAGUUCAAGAAAAGGUGGCGGGAUGCCUCCAAACAAAUUAAGGGAGGGAACCCAACAAAAGAAACUAGAGAAAAAGUUGAUUAAUUUUGAGCCGGAGAACUUCGAGGCGUCGAGCUUCCUUUAGCGGUCACAUAACGGUUUGGCGCCGAACCGGCCAGACUGGAUUCUAUGGGAGA